rnacentral:misc_RNA from 1 species
UUUCCGUAGGUGAACCUGCGGAAGGAUCAUUAACGAGUUAGCGUCUUCUAGCCCCGGCCUCCCAACCCUAUGUUGAUUGAACCUCUGUUUCUUCGGCGGCCCCGCCUGACGGCCGCCGGAGGACCACUGCAAUUCUUCUUCUGGCCAGCGUCCGGCGAUCCCGAACGACUUAAACCCUGAAUGAACUGUGUCCUAUGUCUAUGUAUAUGAUUAAAUUAAAGCAAAACUUUCAACAACGGAUCUCUUGGUUCUG